UACGUAGGGUGCAAGCGUUAAUCGGAAUUACUGGGCGUAAAGCGUGCGCAGGCGGUUUUGUAAGACAGAGGUGAAAUCCCCGGGCUCAACCUGGGAACUGCCUUUGUGACUGCAAGGCUUGAGUGCGGCAGAGGGGGAUGGAAUUCCACGUGUAGCAGUGAAAUGCGUAGAGAUGUGGAGGAACACCGAUGGCGAAGGCAGCCCCCUGGGUUAACACUGACGCUCAGGCACGAAAGCGUGGGGAGCAAACAGG
rnacentral:rRNA from 1 species